AGAAAGGCAUUUGUGAACUUCAAUAAUUUUAUAUGCAUAAAAAGAGGUGCUAAUUUAUCUAUUUGCUUUUUACUUUUAAAUCAUAAUAAUAACUUGACAAUUGCAAUUUAAUUCUAAAAAAUCAUUGAUGUGGAGAGUGAGGCCUAUGAGGCCUUCAAAAUGGUUGUACUAUAUGCUCUGCUUUGUUCGUUUAAGCACUUACCUAUGCUAUUGGAGGCAUUCAAAUUACAAUAUUCAUUGAUGCGGGGGUCUCUUUUAGCUCUUUGGAAUUCCAGCUAAAUUUGUUAUUGAAGGUCAAAACAGGAAAAAAAGGAAGAUGCUUCAAAAUAUUUGGUGGUGAGGUUGAAGUUGAUAAAAUGUUUCAUUAUUUAUAUAUCAACAGCAUUAUACUAAACACACAUAUGUGCAAAUAUAAGGAUGAUAAUGGUAAGCACUUUAGUUUUGAGGUGUAAAUAAAUAAUGGGAUUUGUAACAUAUUCUAUGUUGGCAUUUAUAAUUUUCAGGUUCAGGUUCAUUGUUGCUUUUGGAUGAGUCGUUGUUCAAGCAUGACAAUUGCCAGACAUAUUGCAUUUGAAAAUUUAUUAUUCCACUUUACACAGAGCUUAUUAAGGGCUUGAUCCAUAGUAGGAACACCGUCUGAGUGUUGAAUGUUGAUUUUCACUUGCAUAGCUAAAAUGAGUUGGGAGAGAAUUUACUUAAUUGUACAAAAGUGAGAUUGCAUCAAGUGUUUGAGGGGUUAAGGUUAAAUCAUGUCUUUGCACUAUUAAGUUCAAAGUGGAUUCAUCUAUGGGCAAAGUCCCACAGACGUAGGAUAAAUUCCGAACUGCAUAAACAUCUUAAUUGUGCUC
rnacentral:lncRNA from 1 species